GGGCUUCGGCCCUGAGUAAGUGGCGCACGGGUGCAGUAACACGUGGGUAAUCUGCCUCUGAGAUUGGGAUAACCUGUCGAAAGACGGGCUAAUACCAAAUAAGACCACGACUUCUUCGGGAGUUGAGGUCAAAGGUAGCCUCUAUUUAUAAGCUAUCGCUCGGAGAUGGGCCCGCGCACCAUUAGCUAGUUGGUGGGGUAAUGGCCUACCAAGGCAAAGAUGGUUAGCUGGUCUGAGAGGAUGAUCAGCCACACUGGAACUGAGACACGGUCCAGACUCCUACGGGAGGCAGCAGUGGGGAAUAUUGCGCAAUGGGCGAAAGCCUGACGCAGCAACGCCGCGUGAGUGAUGAAGGCCUUCGGGUCGUAAAGCUCUGUCGGAGGGAACGAAUGCUUUUGAGGUUAAUAGCCUCAGGAGGUGACGGUACCCUCAAAGGAAGCACCGGCUAACUCUGUGCCAGCAGCCGCGGUAAUACAGAGGGUGCAAGCGUUGUUCGGAAUUAUUGGGCGUAAAGGGCGUGUAGGCGGUCUGCUAAGUCAUGUGUGAAAUCCCUCGGCUUAACCGAGGAACGACGCAUGAAACUGGCAAGCUAGAGUACCAAAGAGGGGGGUGGAAUUCCCGGUGU
rnacentral:rRNA from 1 species